rnacentral:rRNA from 1 species
GACAGAGGUGCCGAGCGUUAGGCUGAAUCACUGGGCUUAAAGCGUGUGUAGGUGGAUGCCUAAGUACCUUGUGAAAUCCCACGGCUUAACCGUGGAACUGCUUGGUAUACUGGGUGUCUUGAGCCAGCUAGGGGCUACCGGAACAAAUGGUGGAGCGGUGAAAUGCGUAGAUAUCAUUUGGAACGCCAAUGGUGAAAACAGGUAGCUGGGGCUGUGCUGACACUGAGACACGAAAGCCAGGGGAGCGAACGGG